AACACUGGUAUUAAUUUAGAAAUGUGUAUUAAUUGGAGGUUUUUAAAUCGCCCAUAAUUUGCAGCACGGAGCAUGCGCGGAAAGCGACCAAUCAAAUUUGAGUACCGACUAUUAGGGUCUCUCUCUCUCGUGUUGACAUCGUUUUUUUCGUUUACAAUUCAAGUGCAGACUCCACCCCUGCACGUUCUUGGGUCCUGAAUGAUAACCGAUCGUUGACUGGUGAUAUGGAGGAAAUUCAGUUUUCCAUACGAUAAAUGACAUUCAAAUUCCGUACACGUAUUCUAACAUAAAUUUGAAUUUCGCGGAAACCGUGAGUCAUGCCGGUUACUUAAGAGGAAUUCUUUUAUAUUGAACCGAAGAUAAGUAGUGAAUUUUUCAUUAAUUAUUAUUUAAACAUUCACGUGAAGUAAUCUUUUUUCAGAGACAUAAUAACUGCAUUCACUUUUAUAAAUCUUUCAUGGAUUCGAAAAGUGCUGAUUGCAGUUUUCGACGUUAUCGCCGUAUCUACGGUAGAAUGCUGGCGACUUCCGUUGGAAACCGACGGUUUUUCAAGGGAAUUUUCCAACCGUUACAGAAAUUAAUGCACGCACAAGUUAAUUUAGGAAAGGGAAAUUGUUCCUCCUCCUUGGAUCUACUACUGCUAAUACACUGCAUGAUUCAUAUUUCAAGUAACGAUUAGCAACAGGUUGCAACGUUUCUCAAGUGUAAUUAGAUAAGAUGCAAAAUGCAGCAAAAGUAUAAGAGAUACACGAUACUAGUCGUAGUUGAUAAAUUUAAGUAAUUAUGUAUAAAAAUGAGGUACGAGUAAUUAUAUAAUCUUGGUUGCUAUGGAUACUAUGAGUUACGCUAAGUGUUCUCUCAUCGAACCAGGCGCCAUUGUUAACCUAACUUCGGUUAAUAUAACAAAUUUUAUAAUUCUAUUCGAAAGUAGAAUAUCCGGUUGAAUAACAGACACACACGUAAUUAAAAUCUAUAAAAAAUGAGACGGCGUACAUUUGGGAAUUGCAUCCAUGUUGGAAGAAGAGACAGGUUAUAAUGUAAAUUCGCGUGACCGACAUCCGCUGGCAGUAAGGAGUGCCUGCAGAGUAUGUGUGUCUAGCAUUCCCCUUUUAUCUAGGACCACCGCGUCCGUUGAACCGUUGGUAUCUUUUGACUUCUGUCAGUGACAAUUGCAUUUAAAAAAGAAAAGCGCGAAUUUCUGCGCGACAUAUCCGUCCGAGUUUUCACGAAGUAUGGAGAUGGAAAGCAGCUAUUAAUAAAGUCUCCGUUUCCGACUACUGCGUUCGAAGUCCAAAAUACUCGUCACAACUGUUUACGCGAAUGUCUAACGCAUCUUUCGAUCACUGUGUAAAGUAAAUGCUUCGAUUUCAAUUCAUAUUUACACGAUAUGAACGACUUUGAUACGAUGGAACACUUUGAAUAUGUUUAUACAGUUGACCCUCGAAUAACGCGGGAGGCACAGACACCACAUGUAAAUCUGUGUGUAAUUUUUGACUCUCUAAAACUUAGGUAGAUUGUUGACUAGAAGUUUCAUUUUGUAUACUAUGUAUCUGUGUUACUUUAUUCUUACUGUAAGUUAGAGGUAAGGAAAUGUUAUUAAGAUACUUAUAAGGAAGAGAAAAUACGUACACGCAUAUGUAUCAAUAUAUACAUAUAUUAUUCACACAUACAUAUUGUUAUACAUUAUAAUACAUUAUAAUAAUUAUUAUUUAAACAUACAUUUAUUUAUUAAGUAGAUUAUUUAGUUUGUUAUAAAGUCGCGAUAUAUUACAUGGACUAAUUACAAAAGAGUUUCCGACCAAAACUUUUGGUUGGAAAAAAUCCGCGUUGUUCAAGGGUCAACUGUAUUACGAAAGAGAAAGAAAUUUAAAAAAAUGUAAAUACGUGUGAGAUUUACACGCAUAGGAAAGGAAUGAACGAGAAGAAUGUCACCACGAAAAGACUGGUGUUUUGAAAUAUUCUUCAAGGUUCCUCAUUGAUUCAAAAUACGUACUAUUUUAAAUUGCACGUUUUAACAAACUGAUUAUUAAACAAAUAAUUAGUAUUGUUAUUUGAGAAAUAAGUGCUUGUUACUAGGUAUAAUCGGAAUAUAAGUGCACACCAAUGUACCUGUCUGCUGAGGUUAGCUAGAAAUGCGUAGGAUUAACAGAAAUGUAAGCAUGUGUUCUAUCUCUCGACUCGUCUUGUCUCAUUUUACCUUAAAAGAACGAGACAACUACUAAACGAUCGACACCGAGUAUUUUACGUUACAAUUAAAGCGGCGUACGCACGUUUAUUAUCCCAAUAAUGUAAGUCCGUCUCGAUACUAUGGUGUACGUAACAAUGAACUAUUCCUAUAAAUUUAUAAAAUCCGAUGUGCGUCCGCUAUUCGUUCCCUCAUAGAGAAAAUAGUGACUCGAAUACAGGAUGUCACCUUCACGAAGAUGAAAUUAUCAGACAAGCAUGUAACACGAUAAUUCGCUAACUUGAAAGAAAUAAUCUUUAUGUAGGUUAGUAAGCAAAAGGUUAGUUUCCGAAUGAAAAGCAGGAAAUGAAUGUACACGUAUCGUACGAAAAAAAAGACGAGAAAUAUUGGAACAAGCAGUAUUUCGAUUAGCGGUUACGAAAAACAAUUUGUUGGAACAAUUAUAACACUUGUAGAUUGUCUUUAAUUAUUAAACAUUUCAGUGACUUGAA
rnacentral:lncRNA from 1 species